UUGAAAAGAUUUGAUUAGCACCUAAAGGUCAAUUGUUUUGAAUAUAUGGAUAAAAUAUAAAGAAAACUUGAUUAAAGUAAUGGAUAAAGAUGGGAAAGAACUAUCUUAGAAUAAACAAUAUGAAUAACUAAAGAUUUCAAAGUAUUAGUCAACAAAUAGGAAUAUUAAACAAAACAAAAGUCAUCAAAAUACAUAUGGAAAGUAUCAUUCAAAAAAAUGGCAAAGAAUAAAUGCAAGAAUAUUAAUUUCAAAAGAAUAGCUAAUAUUAUUCCCAAUUAACAUAAAGAGAUUCAGAAAAUGUACCCUACUCAAUAAUUCCGAAUAAAGAGAAUCCACACAAAGAUUGAGAACAAACUCUUUAUGUCUAGAAUAAAAAUGAAAAACCUUUUAUAAUUUAGCUUGAGUAUAAGAAUGUAGUAAAAAGUAUAACAACCAAAAUACUUUCAGGGAAAACCACACAAAUCCAAAUAAGCUUAUUCACAAAUAUAUAUCUAAUUUGGUUAACAAGAUGCAUGAGUCUAGUUAUUUGAUUUGAUUAUAAAAAAAUAAUGUUUACAAUCCCAAGUAUUAUGUGCUUACUUUAAUUAGAAUAAAGUACCUAAAUGAUUGAGUUAUUCUUUUUGGGGUUUAGCUAAACAUACUCGUAUAUACCAUUCACUUUAGGAAAGGAUUAUAUCAUACCAUUAUCUACGAACAUGACUAAUUUAAUUAUCUAAGCAUACACCUAACUAAACUAAUCAUAUCAUAAUACAUAUUCAUUAACCUAGAUAUAUGCACAAACUUCCUGAAUUUACCUAACAUAAAACAUCAUAAUUUUAAUCCAAUUAUUAACUAAAUGCGAUUCACCCUAAGUGUUUAGUAAAUAGAUAAUAUAAAAGAAAACAAUCAAGCACAAUAUCUGUCUAUGGCUUUACUAUAUUUUACGUUUGAGUACAUCCGAGAAUGGGAGGUACGAUGCGGGGCACUUGAAGGGGUUUAUCCUUGAUUUUUCUCCAAGCGCCGUCUUCCAAAAACGACUGUAUGAUGGUACCUCGCAAGAUAAGAGAAGUAAAAUUGUUAGUAAGAUAUAACGUAAACAAUAAACUAAUUUAUUUUUGAAAUAAUUUUAUUUUAAAAAAUAUUUUUUGAAAAAUUAUUUUUGGAAAUAGUUUGAAAAUGUUUUUGGGAACUUGUUUUUAAGAAAUAGCUUUGGAAAAUAGUUUAAAAGAUAAUAUAGGAGGCUCAAAUAUGCGUAAUAUCCGAUAUCCGUCUAGACAUGAGGACGUAAACCACCUUGGUUGCGACUUUGGUAGCUAAUCGUGUUGCCUUCCGAAGGUUUUAUUGGUUCAUCGCAUCCUCGUUUUUUAUUUUUUUUGAUAUUUAUCAUCAUCGCCUCGUUAUUAUAGGGCCCAAUCCGAAGGGUCAUAUGGGGCAACGUGGCCUUAAUAACUUGAAUGUUAUUUUCUCAUCGACCUUGUUUCGACCAGUAUAUCCAAACUGGUGUAACAUUCGUCCACCGUCAAAACUAUCCAACUGUGUAGUAUUGCGUCAACACCAGUACAUGUCCAACACAAAAAAGUGAGUGAAUCAGUAUCAAAACAGUGCCAAGCUUACACAUAAAUGUUCGAAAAUUUCAAAGCCAAAGCAGUAAGAAUCCAACAGUAACCAAACAUUUCCAAACCAAGAAUGCAAAACAUUAGACGAAACAGAGUUCACUUAAACAUAUAAACUAGUGGGUAAAAAUACGGGCCAACAAUGUCGAGAACGAUCCAACCAAAUAGCAGAAGCAAGGCAUCAUAACAGUCAAACAGAAGAUAUUUCGGCCAAAAUCCGGUCAACAAACAAACUAUUUUUAGAUCUGUCUUUUCGUAAUAUCAAAGGCCCAAAAACAGUAAAAGGACGAGAAGAAAAAGAGUCACCAGAUUUAAUGGAAGGUCACCGGAACAAGGCAGCAAUACCACCAAGUCGUUCGAUGCGAUAUGGUGAUGAGAGAGUGGAUCUCGUCUUUCCGGCGGGUCUCAUCGAGGGACAAGGGUACAACAGUGAUGACGUCUCCGCCUGGCCGGUCACCACCUCUGGCGGCGACUACAAAAAUAGUGUGAGGAGUGAGGGAGGAUGACGGGGCAGUGGGGUCUCCAAAGGAUCUCGCCGGCGAGGGAAGCUCAGGGACAAGAGGCGACA
rnacentral:lncRNA from 1 species